AAAUGUUAAUCAGUGUAACCUAAACUAUACAGAGCUCUUAUAAAGGCGGAACUCCAACAUUUUUUAAAUCUCGAUUUAAACCUACAUAUGAAUUUAGGUUUACUUAGGAAGAUUCAUAAGAUUGUAGAUUACCUCAUGGAGAUACACCUUAGGUAGAGGAGCCAUAGGGAGAUAUUAAUUUACUUGUAGUCGACAUUAAUUUAAACAUUUUUGAAUAACAAGAGUUUCAUCUCUGUAAAAUUACUCUGUGGUUAAACUAAAGAGGAACCAUAACACUGUACAUACACGAAAAUUAUAUCACGUACUUAAAUGUAAGCGAUGAGCCCAUCCAAUGCAAUUUCAAUGAAUAUCAACCAGUUCUUUAUUUUCACAUACAACACCAGUGGUUAUCAGCCAGUAUUCAUACAUACACAAGUUGAAUACUUUUCGAAUGCUAUCAGCUCUUCAUCGAGGCGGGAUUCUUAGCUGACAGCGCUGUGUUAAUCGAAAUAAAGUAUUGUCGUGACAUCCGAAGUUUACUAUCGACUAGUAAACAGUCUAUACAAGGACAACCGGCGAAACGAGGUGAAAGAAAGAAAAUACUUUUCUCUGUCAAUACACACCAUAUUUACAUCGCAUAAU